AAGUUUGUGUGCAUUUGCAGGAACUUGUGAGUCUCCUAUUGACAAUAAACAGGAGACUGACGAGUUCCCGGGAACACCCACAAAUCU
ensembl:miRNA microRNA 873